rnacentral:lncRNA from 1 species
UAGCCAUGCUAUAUAUAGUGUAUCCAGUAGCCACGCUAUAUAUAGUGUAUCCAGUAGUCAUGCUAUAUAUAGUGUAUCUAGUAGCCAUGCUACAUAGUGUAUAGUGUAGGCCAUGCCAUAUAUAGUGUAUCUAGUAGCCAUGCUAUAUAUAGUGCAGAGACCAUGCUAUAUAUAGUGUAUCUAGUAGCCAUGCCAUAUAUAGUGUAUCCAGUAGCCAUGCUAUAUAUAGUGUAUCCAGUAGCCAUGCUAUAUAUAGUGUAUCUAGUAGCCAUGCUAUAUAUAGUGUAUCUAGUAGCCAUGCUAUAUAGUGUAUCUAGCAGCCAUGCUAUAUAUAGUGUAUCUAGUAGCCAUGCUAUAUAUAGUGUUUCUAGUAGCCAUGCAAUAUAUAGUGUAUCUAGUAGCCAUGCAAUAUAUAGUGUAUCUAGUAGCCAUGCAAUAUAUAGUGUAUCUAGUAGCCAUGCUAUAUAUAGUGUAUCUAGUAGCCAUGCUAUAUAUGGUGUAUCUAGUAGCCAUGCUAUAUAUGGUGUUUCUAGUAGCCAUGCUAUAUAUAGUGUAGAGGCCAUGCUAUAUAUAGUGUAUCUAGUAGCCAUGCUAUAUAUAGUGUAGAUACCAUGCUAUAUAGUGUAUCGAGUAGCCAUGCUAUAUAUAGUGUAGAGACCAUGCUAUAUAUAGUGUAUCUAGUAGCCAUGCUAUAUAUAGUGUAGAGGCCAUGCUAUAUAUAGUGUAUCUAGUAGCCAUGCUAUAUAUAGUGUAGAGGCCAUGCUAUAUAUAGUGUAUCUAGUAGCCAUGCUAUAUAUAGUGUAGAGGCCAUGCUAUAUAUAGUGUAGAGGCCAUGCUAUAUAUAGUGUAUCUAGUAGCCAUGCUAUAUAUAGUGUAUCUAGUAGCCAUGCUAUAUAUAGUGUAGAGGCCAUGCUAUAUAUAGUGUAUCUAGUAGCCAUGCUAUAUAUAGUGUAGAGGCCAUGCUAUAUAUAGUGUAGAUGCCAUGCUAUAUAUAGUGUAUCUAGUAGCCAUGCUAUAUAUAGUGUAUCUAGUAGCCAUGCUCCAUAUAGUGUAUCUAGUAGCCAUGCUAUAUAUCGUGUAGAGGCCAUGCUAUAUAUAGUGUAUCUAGAG